rnacentral:rRNA from 1 species
GACUCUCGGCAACGGAUAUCUCGGCUCUCGCAUCGAUGAAGAACGUAGCGAAAUGCGAUACUUGGUGUGAAUUGCAGAAUCCCGUGAACCAUCGAGUCUUUGGAACGCAAGUUGCGCCGAAGCCGUUAGGCCGAGGGCACGUCUGCCUGGGCGUCA